CAGCCGCCACGGUAAUACGAAGGGUGCAAGCGUUAAUCGGAAUUACUGGGCGUAAAGCGUGCGUAGGCGGUGAGUUAAGUCUGCUGUGAAAUCCCCGGGCUCAACCUGGGAAUGGCAGUGGAUACUGGCUCGCUAGAGUGUGUCAGAGGAUGGUGGAAUUCCCGGUGUAGCGGUGAAAUGCGUAGAGAUCGGGAGGAACAUCAGUGGCGAAGGCGGCCAUCUGGGACAACACUGACGCUGAGGCACGAAAGCGUGGGGAGCAAACAGGAUUAGAUACCCCCGUAGUCCCUGUCUCUUAUAC
rnacentral:rRNA from 1 species